UAUCUUCGCCGGAGGGUCCAGUCCGGCGAUUCCAGCUGGAAUGUUGUUUCAUCCAGGGUGUCCCUCUCCGGCAUCUCUCGGAGACCGAUCGCGCCUUAAAUAAUCGGAUCUCUGGUUAGAAAAUUGCGCUUACGUCGGUGGAUUGAUGAGCCAGACAAUCCUACACCCAAAAUAAUUUAGAAAUUAUUUAUACGGGAUUUUUCACGUAAACUAAGCUUUUGUGGCAUCACAUCGCUUCUACGUAUGCUUUGUAGUAACUACUGUACUUCCAUAUAACUGUCACAUGAAUUUCACGUAAAGUCUAAGUGGAUGGUUUUGAAUACUUUUUUUUGCUGUUUUCUCAAGCAUGUGGUAGUAUAUUCCUAUUGGAAAAGGGAAUUGUUGUCAGUUAGCUAACUUGAUUUUGUCUGGAUGCGGCAGCUCAAGAGCAUUCAGCGUCGGAAGACGAGCAGUACACCACAAAGGACUUCCUGCGGGUCUCAAACACGAGAAAUACAAAACCUCGGGAGCAAGGCGUUUCGAAGAAAGCUUCAAGAAAUCCGUGGAGAAGACGAGGAAGGGUCGUGAGAACAAGCCUAAGCACCAAAUCGGCCCCAGAUGGAAGUUUGUUUCUACUGAUCCUAACAAGGAUUCAACAAACCAACUCAAUGAAAAGAAGUUCCACAAUUGUGAUGAAAUAGUGAAUUAUAAGUGUAGUGACAUGACAGUGUGACG